rnacentral:rRNA from 1 species
GCUUAACGCGAAGAACCUUACCUGGCCUUGACAUGUCUGGAAUCCCGAAGAGAUUUGGGAGUGCCGCAAGGAACCAGAACACAGGUGCUGCAUGGCUGUCGUCAGCUCGUGUCGUGAGAUGUUGGGUUAAGUCCCGCAACGAGCGCAACCCUUGUCCUUAGUUGCCAUCAUUAAGUUGGGAACUCUAAGGAGACCGCCGGUGACAAACCGGAGGAAGGUGGGGAUGACGUCAAGUCAUCAUGGCCUUUAUGGCCAGGGCUACACACGUGCUACAAUGGCAGGUACAGAGGGAAGCCAACCGGCGACGGGGAGCUAAUCCCAGAAAGCCUGUCUUAGUCCGGAUUGCAGUCUGCAACUCGACUGCAUGAAGUUGGAAUCGCUAGUAAUCGCAGAUCAGCAUUGCUGCGGUGAAUACGUUCCCGGGUCUUGUACACACCG